AUUGAACGCUGGCGGCAGGCCUAACACAUGCAAGUCGAGCGAGCGGCGGACGGGUGAGUAAUGUAUGGGGACUGCCCGAUAGAGGGGGAUAACUACUGGAAACGGUGGCUAAUACCGCAUACUAUCGGAUAACCCAUAUGGGAUUAGCUAGUAGGUGGGGUAAAGGCUCACCUAGGAGACGAUCUCUAGCUGGUCUGAGAGGAUGAACAGCCAACCUGGGACUGAGAAACGGCCCGGCCUCCCGGGGAGGCAGCAGUGGGGAAUAUUGCACAAGGGGGGCAAGCCGGAUGCAGCCAUGCCGCGGGUAUGAAGAAGGCCUUAGGUUUGUAAAGUACUUUCAGCGGGGAGGCGUUACCCGCAGAGGAAGCACCGGCUAACUCCGUGCCAGCAGCCGCGGUAAUAC
rnacentral:rRNA from 1 species